rnacentral:rRNA from 1 species
UGGGGAAUAUUGCGCAAUGGGGGCAACCCUGACGCAGCAACGCCGCGUGAAGGAAGAAGGCCUUCGGGUUGUAAACUUCUUUGAUCGGGGACGAAACUGACGGUACCCGAGGAACAAGCCACGGCUAACUACGUGCCAGCAGCCGCGGUAAUACGUAGGUGGCAAGCGUUGUCCGGAAUUACUGGGCGUAAAGGGCGUGUAGGCGGGGCGGCAAGUCAGGUGUGAAAUCCCGGGGCUUAACUCCGGAGCUGCAUCUGAAACUGCUGUUCUUGAGUGCUGGAGAGGAAAGUGGAAUUCCCAGUGUAGCGGUGAAAUGCGUAGAGAUUGGGAGGAACACCAGUGGCGAAGGCGGCUUUCUGGACAGUAACUGACGCUGAGGCGCGAAAGCGUGGGGAGCAAACAGG